GUUCCCGGGCCUUGUACACACCGCCCGUCACACCACGAGAGUUUGUAACACCCGAAGUCGGUGGGGUAACCUUUUUGGAGCCAGCCGCCUAAGGUGGGACAGAUGAUUGGGGUGAAGUCGUAACAAGGUAGCCGUAUCGGAAGGUGCGGCUGGAUCACCUCCUUUCUAUGGAGA
rnacentral:rRNA from 1 species